GGGGUUGUAGUUCAGUUUGGUUAGAACGCCUGCCUGUCACGCAGGAGGCCGCGAGUUCGAGUCUCGUCAACCCCGCCA
rnacentral:tRNA from 1 species